ensembl:lncRNA
AUGGAAACACAAACUUUAUCAGCCCCUGCUGAUGAGCGUUUCCACUCCAAUUCAAAUCCGCCGGACAGCAGCAGACAACAAAUUCCAGAAAAGCGCCAGAGACAGAAGAUGCCAUCGACCAAUUUAACCAAGCAGCAGCUCUUCAUAACCCAAAGCCGGACAGCAACAGACAAAUUCCAGAAAAGUGCCAGGGACAGAAGAUGCCAUCGAGUAGUUCCACCGAGCAGCAGCUCCCCAUACCCCAAAGGUACUCUAAGAAAUAAAAUGCUGUAUUUAGUCAGUCGAGUUACGACAACUGGUCCCAUGAAAAUUAGUCAAGUUAAUGUGAAAACACAGACUCAGUUUUACUUUAUGCUGCUGAAUUUUCUUUUUUUAAGGUGUACCAAAGUCAGUCAAAUAUAAGUCUUCAUUCAAGUUAUUACAAUAUAGCACAUAUGACAGCUUAUACAACUUUGUCAAAUCCUUCUGAAGAUUUCAAUUCAAAAUCUCUCAAGAACACAAGACGAGUUUUCCGCCCUGCUCCUUAUUCCUGACAAAGAUUCUCAUGUCCUCCAUUUGCACCAAUGUUAUCAACCUUAACAGUGGAGGAACAGAAGGUUUUCUGAUGUGAUGUGUAGGAUGACAUCAUUUGUUUAUGACUGUGAGUUGGAAACAGGAAACAGAAAGCCAUCUGUGACUUCCUCAUUUGUUAAUCAAAGUGUUGUUUUUCUUUGGAGAAGUUUCCCUCGACUUUGUAAUGAACUCUGUCAUAUUGAGCAGUAUUAAAUUGUUUUGUAAAUUCCCAUUUUAAAAAGGAGAGAGAAUUAAAUAAAACAUUUUUCAGCUCUAUUUAUGAAGUGCAUGGGGUAUCUUGCAAGUGAACAGUUUAACAACAUAUUUUUUUAUUAUAUCAAAGUUACAUUAUUUUGUCCUGUGAGUUAAUUAAUUAUGAACUUUUCAUUACCUAGGAAAGAAGACCAGCAGCAGGAAGAUCAUCACUCAAGCCCGGAGAAUAUUAGUUUUACAGAAAUAACUCUAGAAAAACAUGAUUUGUUUAAAGUCCAGGAUAUAAAUUCAUGGAAACAAUUUAGCUUAGAACUUAUUGCUUAUUAUUAUUCACCAAAUAACAACUCGUUGGAUAGUUUUACUUAUAAUAUAGGAAUAUUUACACUGCAGUUAACAGAGAGGUUAAAACAAAGCAAAGAUGAUGACAAAAAAAGAUCUUUUUUUAUGUGAUGGCACAAUGUUCUACAUUAAAAAAAACAAUUAUCCCUUAAGUUGAAGCAGGUGAGCCCUUGCAGUCUCUCUUAAACGAACACAAAAAGAAACACAGGAAAGGAAAAGCAGUACGCAUUUGCUAUUGUGUAUUUUAAAGAUCAUAAAGCUGUGAUUUCUUCUUCAUGUUAUCCACGUCAUUCAGCAAAGAGAAGUCAUUCUGAUUCCAUCAUUACUGAUACAUUACACAGUGAGGAAAUCUUAAUUAAAGAACUUGACAGAAUUCUGCAGAGGAAGGGAAGCACUGUGGAAUGGGUUUUAAUCUAUACACAGAGAAUAAGCACACAUAGACCCGUGUAUGUCUCUGCUGCAGAAAAACGCAGAUCAUUGGCACAAUGAAUAUGGAUUUUUUACUGUUUGACUUUCAAAGAGUUUUCGAGACAAAGUCGUCCAAACUAUUUCAACUAUGUCACAGAAAUCCCUUCUCCCAGCUGUGCUUUUUCUCCAUAUAUUGAAAAAUGUGGCAGUAUGUCCUUCAAAUUAGUCAAUAAAGGCUUCAAUAAAUUAAAACCUGGAGAUAUCCUGAACCUCAAAAAUGUUGAAGACAAAAAGAGAAUAUACAUGAAGACAUUAAAUAUGUUCUUAACAGUCUUAAGAAACAAUUGGCAGAAACAUGAUUUGGUCUGAAAAUAGAUGAUGUUGAGAGGGGAGAGAAAAUAAUUGUUCAAAGUCUUGAAAACUUCCAAGAUCUGGACAUUGGGAUAAACAUCUCCAAAUCUCUGAGAGAUAAUUGGGUUGAAAUGGUGAACAACAGUUUCUUGUCACUGAUAAGAGAAACAAUAACUGCUGACUUCAACGCUGCACAGGUUCAUCUUGCUGUAGAAGACCUUCAACUGGGGGAAAACAGCCCCUUAAAGCUUUAUCACAUCCUCGAUAGAAAUCUAUUAUAAAUAUGUUGAAUUGAUUAAAAAAGUAACAAAUAACAACUGCUCAAAUUACUAUAAUUUAAUCAUGUUUUGGGGUACUUAAUUGUAAUUUAAUCCGUAAUUUCACACAUACUUAAGUAUGCACAACACUCAUGUAAUCUACUAAAUGACUCUAAAAUCAUAAAAGAUUACAAUUUGAAUUAAUAUCUAAAGCUUUCAUCAGCAAAUACGUCACAAAAUAAGCUUCUGAUCACAAACAGGCUGAUGAAAACCCUGAUGUAAGGUGUGUGGAGUAAUCUAGACUGAAGAUGUGGAGAAACAAACACUAUUCUUUUCACACAGACUUUUGAUUGAUGUUUCCUUUCCUCUUGUUUUUUUUUUCUUCCUUCAU